GAGGGUAUAGCUCAGUGGUAGAGUGUGUGCCUAGCAUGCAUGAGGUCCAGGGAUCAAUCCCCAGUACCACUG
rnacentral:tRNA from 1 species